UCAGCCAGUUUACAUAUUGCUGUUUAGCCCUUAUAGGAUAGUUUACUUUAAUAUCAAUACCAGUUGUAGAGAGAAUAUACAUAGCUAAUAGAAUGUAAUGAGAGGGCAUGAAGGAAAUGAAUUAAUCUAUUUUCUCCUCCCAAAAGUUAUUCUCCAAACCCUCGUUCUUAUUCUCUACUAUUUCUCUUCCCCAAUUCCCUUCUCUACUUCUAAUCCCCAUCCCUCUUCUCUCUGUAUCUCUCUCUGUAUCCCCAACUCUUCUCGGUCACUCUCUCUACCUAUCUCUCUCUUCCCCUCUAUCUCUAUUCUCAAUUCCUUUACCUUAAUCCUCAGCUCAACGUAUUACCAUCAUCUCCAAUCCCAGCUGAUCCUCAAUUGGAUAUCAACGGAGGCUAGAUUGGAUCAGGAAGGCCAAUUAAGAGCUCAUCAUCAUCCCCAAUUUAGCCUUACCCUCAUUGAGAUAAACCCCUCUCCUCCUCCACCGCAACACAGAGAGAGAGAGAUUAGAGGGAGAGGGAGAUGAGUUGAGGCCGUACCUUCUUUGAUGGAUGGAGCGGAGGAGAGAGAGAAGAGCGAAGCGUGCGAGGAAUUAGAGUACAACUGGUCCGGUUGCAAAUUCUUGCUCCGCGUCUCACCAUGCUCCACCCGUC